ensembl:processed_transcript
UGAUAUUGGAUCGCUAAUGAUAACAUUAUGAUAUGGCUGCCAAUAUAUUGUGCAUCACAAUUAUUAUUUUUUUUAACUCUAUAAGUCAAUUAAUUUUGUUUUAUUAAAACUUAUUUAGUGUUUAACCAAAUAAAGAAACCACUUGAGGGCAGACAAAAUAUGGACUGAAGAAGAGACUAGUAAAAUGGAUGAAUUUGCUCUGAUGGCAGAGAUGAAUGUGAACAACGAGCAGGAGCUUUAUCGGCAAUUGAUAAAGGCUUACAAUGAAAGAAACUGAACAAGAAUUUAGAGAGACUAGGGUGGCUUAAGAUUAAACCUGCAUGCUCAAGUUUUACAUAGAGACAGCCAAAAUCCUUUUAAACAGCUUAAAAACUGUGUUGUCUAUUUUGUUUUUUAAGAACUUGUUAAAUGCAUGCCAAUUUGUUGUUUAUUGAUUGAAUAACAAAUGUCAAUAUUAGUAGAUGUGAUUUGGCUCAGAUGGUAAGUCUAUGAACAGUCAACAGAUUUUUUGCACUCUUUAAAAGUCUACAGUUUGAUGCGUGUUUUUUUGACAUGCAUGUUAACAACCAGCAUGCGUCAGUUUGUUUCCUUUAAACUACAUUCAUUUCACCAGAUUAGGUUUGGUUGUAUUUAGAGAACAAUGUCUUUAUUCUGGGAUUAGCACAC